AAACCGGUUCUUUUAAGAACCAAACAAUUCGAUUAAGAAAGAGUUUU
rfam:Megaselia scalaris, Durham, NC isolate 2 -- Noor lab, WGS project CAQQ02000000 data, contig: ctg0000064503